rnacentral:rRNA from 1 species
CGUCUAGAUCCCUGUGCGGCGAGCGAGCGGGAAGAGCUCAAAUUUAUAAUCUGGCACCUUCGGUGUCCGAGUUGUAAUCUCUAGAAGUGUUUUCCGCGUUGGACCGCACACAAGUCUGUUGGAAUACAGCGGCAUAGUGGUGAAACCCCCGUAUAUGGUGCGGACGCCCAGCGCUUUGUGAUACACUUUCAAUGAGUCGAGUUGUUUGGGAAUGCAGCUCAAAUUGGGUGGUAAAUUCCAUCUAAAGCUAAAUAUUGGCGAGAGACCGAUAGCGAACAAGUACCGUGAGGGAAAGAUGAAAAGCACUUUGGAAAGAGAGUUAACAGUACGUGAAAUUGUUGGAAGGGAAACGCUUGAAGUCAGACUUGCUUGCCGGAGCUUGCUUCGGUUUGCAGGCCAGCAUCAGUUUUCCGGGGUGGAUAAUGACGGUUUGAAGGUAGCAGUCUCGGCUGUGUUAUAGCUUUCCGUUGGAUACAUCCUGGGGGACUGAGGAACGCAGCGUGCUUUUUGCGAAAGACUCGUCUUUUUCACGCUUAGGAUGCUGGUGGAAUGGUUUUAAACGACCCGCUGAAAAACGGGAGGA